rnacentral:rRNA from 1 species
UAACAGGCUAAUCUCCCCCAAGAGUUCACAUCGACGGGGAGGUUUGGCACCUCGAUGUCGGCUCAUCGCAUCCUGGGGCUGGAGUAGGUCCCAAGGGUUUGGCUGUUCGCCAAUUAAAGCGGUACGUGAGCUGGGUUUAAAACGUCGUGAGACAGUUUGGUCCCUAUCUGUCGCGGGCGGAGGAUAUUUGAGAGGAGCUGUCCCUAGUACGAGAGGACCGGGAUGGACGAACCUCUAGUGUUCCAGUUGUCACGCCAGUGGCAUCGCUGGGUAGCUACGUUCGGACGGGAUAACCGCUGAAAGCAUCUAAGCGGGAAGCCCACCUCAAGAUUAGAUAUCCCGUGGCGUAAGCCACCUAAAGACCCCUCGGAGACUACGAGGUUGAUAGGUCAGGUGUGUAAGGCCAGUAAUGGUCUGAGCUUACUGAUACUAAUCGGUCGUGCGGCUUGACCAU